GUGGCAGGCACGGCACCAGUGUUGUCAAAGCGAGGAGGAGGUUAGUUGUGGACAGACUGCAGCCGUGAUUCAGCCCUUUAGUCGCAGGGAAAAUGGGAAGCACGGUGAUGGAGUCCGGCAAGGGAGGCUCCAAAAAGCUGCCCAAGCGGAAGAGAGGUCUGCGUAUCAAUAUGCCGGACUUUGCAGCAUUUACUUCUCCCCAAGUGGAAACGAGUUGCUCAACUAAAAGCUCAAAGACGGGAGACCGUUGCACACGUUCUGCCAGCCCUGCCAGGGGAGAGGCUGCUGUGAGGAGCGCGCGGCCAUGUCCGCAGUCGGCGCCAGUGCAGUCCAAGUCCACCUCGGGUUCACCCAAAACCAUCUUCCCGUAUCCCUGUUACCAGGAAUCCCCACCCAAAUCCCCCCGCCGCCUCAGCUUCAGUGGCAUCUUCCGCUCCUCAUCCAACACAAGCCCUUCAAGCAUCAAAAUAUUUACCAGAGCCCGCAGAGCCUCUGGAAUCUCCACACCACCCACCACGCCAACACAGACACCCAGCCAGCCUGUGUUCACCCAAGAGGCCACGCAGAGCGUUCCAAGCCCAGAACGCCUACUGGGAGACCGUUUCCGCUCCCGCUGUGUGUCGACGCCUCCCGACACAGGACAGCGCUCCACCCUUCCCUCGGCAAAACCACCGAAACCUUCCUCGAGCCCUGUGCCGCUGUACUCUACCUCACAACAAGUGUCUGGUUUAUUCGAAGGUAUGCUGGAGAAACUUGAACUAAACGACGAUGCUGCUGAACCUGAGAGUGAUAUUUACAUGCGAUUUAUGAAAUCCCACAAGUGCUAUGACAUCGUCCCUACAAGCUCCAAGCUGGUCGUGUUUGACACGGCGCUCCAAGUCAAGAAGGCAUUUUUUGCCUUGGUUGCCAAUGGCGUACGAGCUGCUCCACUGUGGGACACAGAGAAGCAAAGCUUUGUGGGGAUGCUGACAAUCACAGACUUCAUCAUAAUCCUUCACAGAUACUACAAGUCGCCAAUGGUACAAAUAUAUGAGCUAGAAGAACAUAAGCUGGAGACGUGGAGAGAGGUUUAUCUUCAAGCAACUUUCAAGCCUCUUGUCAACAUAUCGCCUGAUGCAAGCCUCUUCGAUGCAGUCUACACGCUCAUCAAAAACAAAAUUCACCGCUUGCCCGUCAUCGACCCAGUCACAGGGAACGCACUUUAUAUCCUCACGCACAAGAGGAUCCUCAAGUUCCUCCAGCUUUUUAUGUGUGAGAUGCCAAAGCCAGCCUUCAUGAAGCAGACCCUCGGGGAGUUGGGCAUCGGCACAUAUCAGGACAUUGCCUUCAUCCACCCCAACACACCCAUCAUCAAAGCACUAAAUAUCUUCGUGGAGAGGAGAGUGUCUGCUUUGCCUGUAGUGGAUGAGUCAGGCAAAGUUGUGGACAUCUACUCCAAGUUUGACGUCAUCAACCUGGCAGCUGAAAAGACGUACAACAACCUGGACAUUACGGUGACGCAGGCGCUCAAGCAUCGCUCACAGUACUUUGAAGGUGUCAUGAAGUGCCACAAGAUGGAAACUAUGGAGACAAUCGUGGACAGAAUUGUUAAAGCUGAAGUGCAUCGGUUGGUGGUGGUGGACGAGCGCUCCAGCAUCGAGGGCAUCGUUUCCCUGUCGGACAUCCUCCAGUCCCUGGUGCUCAGUCCAGCAGGUAUCGACGCUCAACAUAGCUAACCCCAACAAGUACUCAGUCCUGGACACACACACUCUCCAUCCUCACACCAAGCUCUCUCCCGUCCCCGCCCCAUCCCGCCCUCUUACUUUGUCUCAGACUGCUGCAAGGAGGAGAACCUGAGCGAAUGAGGAGGAGCUGAAGAGGAGACAUACGGACACCAAAGACGAGUGUGCACUGAGGACUGCGCUUCUUGAAUGUAUGUGCUGAACUCUAAUCAGAUAUGUUGUACAUAUACAGUUCAUAAAUACAUUAUUAUAGUCACCUUGCCAGGGAAAGGUGGAUCAGACGGGUUCUUUGAAAAAAAAGUUUUGAGUUCAGCAUUCUCACUGUUUGCAAAUACAAAGGUUGCACUGUUUGUAUCCUCCUUUUGUUUGGACAACACAGGUUUUAGUUUUAUUAAAACACAUUUCACUCUCUUCAAUUCCCCAUUUUUUUACCCCAUAAAAUAUUUGUGACAUGAAUGUGUAAAGAAAAUUUGGGUGAUAUUCUUUUCACUGGUCACAAACUCUGAAUGAUUUUUUUUUUUUUAAGUGAACAUUAAAAAACAUGGCUGCAGCUGAACAAAACUCAUCUCCCCGUUUUGACUGUAAAUAGGAUUAUUUUUGUUUCACAAAAAAAGCUUUAUUUUUUAUGUCACAUGUUCAAAUAGACUGCAUAUGUGUGGGGUAUUUUUGUAAAUAUGUUGCUGGAACCACCACAUGUACUGUAAAUGUGCAAAGCAUGACACAACACUUUACAGCAGUAUGAAUGUUCUUUGCUUUUUUGGUUCUUUGUUCUCAUUUUUCUGCUUGCAGAAAAAUAAAAGACACUGAAUGUA